UUGCGGUUAAAACGCUCGUAGUUGGAUAUUUGUUGAGAACUGCCGGUCUACCCCAGUGGUCAGCACACGGUUCGUUCUCGGCACUUUCCUGGGGAGAGUGUUUGCACUUCAUUGUGUGGCACAUGAUCCAGAACUUUUACUUUGAGGAAAUGAGAGUGUUUCAAGCAGGCGCCUGUCGUGAAUACGUUAGCAUGGAAUAAUAGCAUGGGACCGCGGUCUGAAGCUGUUGGUUUUUGGGCCGUGGUAAUGAAAAUAGGGAUAGUUGGGGGUAUUCGUAUUUAACUGUCAGAGGUGAAAUUCUUGGAUUUUUUAAAGACGGACUACUGCGAAAGCAUCUGCCCAGGAUGUUUUUAUUGAUCAAGAACGAAAGUUAGGGGAUCGAAGACGAUCAGAUACCGUCCUAGUCUUAACCUUAAACCAUGCCGACUAGAGAUUUGGAUCGUCAGAAUCGUGACGCUCUGAGCACCUUAGGGGAAACCAAAGUCUUCGGGUUCCGGGGGGAGUAUGGUCGCAAGGCUGAAACUUAAAGGAAUUGACGGAAGGGCACCACCAGGAGUGGAGCCUGCGGCUUAAUUUGACUCAACACGGGGAAACUUACCAGGUCCGGACAUAGAGAGGAUUGACAGACUGAUAGCUCUUUCUUGAUUCUAUGGGUGGUGGUGCAUGCC
rnacentral:rRNA from 1 species